rnacentral:rRNA from 1 species
GGGUGAGUAACGCGUAGGCAACCUGCCCUUAGCAGGGGGAUAGCCAUUGGAAACGAUGAUUAAAACCCCAUAACACGAGGACGUCACAUGUCGACCUCGUCAAAGAUUUAUCGGCUAAGGAUGGGCCUGCGUCUGAUUAGGUAGUUGGUGAGGUAACGGCCCACCAAGCCUACGAUCAGUAGCCGACCUGAGAGGGUGAUCGGCCACAUUGGAACUGAGACACGGUCCAAACUCCUACGGGAGGCAGCAGUGGGGAAUAUUGCACAAUGGGCGCAAGCCUGAUGCAGCAACGCCGCGUGAAGGAUGAAGGUCUUCGGAUCGUAAACUUCUGUCCUUGGGGAAGAAGAACUGACGGUACCCAUGGAGGAAGCCCCGGCUAACUACGUGCCAGCAGCCGCGGUAAUACGUAGGGGGCGAGCGUUAUCCGGAAUUAUUGGGCGUAAAGAGUGCGUAGGUGGUUACCUAAGCGCAGGGUUUAAGGCUACGGCUUAACUGUAGUUCGCCCUGCGAACUGGGCAACUUGAGUGCAGGAGAGGAAAGCGGAAUUCCUAGUGUAGCGGUGAAAUGCUUAGAUAUUAGGAGGAACACCAGUGGCGAAGGCGGCUUUCUGGACUGAAACU